rnacentral:rRNA from 1 species
UACAGAGGGUGCGAGCGUUAAUCGGAGUUACUGGGCGUAAAGGGCGCGUAGGCGGUAAGGUGAGUGUGAUGUGAAAGCCCUGGGCUUAACCUAGGAAGUGCAUCGCAAACGACCUAACUGGAGUAUAAGAGAGGGUGGCGGAAUUUCCGGUGUAGCGGUGAAAUGCGUAGAGAUCGGAAGGAACGUCAAUGGCGAAGGCAGCCACCUGGCUUAAUACUGACGCUGAGGCGCGAAAGCGUGGGGAGCGAACAGG